rnacentral:misc_RNA from 1 species
CAAACUUACGUUAUCAAAUUCAGCUUUAAAAUGGUGUAAAGAUAGGAACAGUUGCAUUUUAUGAACUCACAAGUUCGACAAAACUUAAUAUAACAAGUCAACGGGAAAAAAUAAAUGAAAAACUAAUGUAAUACAAAACGGCUGGACUCCGUCAAGCAGCCCGUUGCCUCAAGCAAAUAUGGCGUAUAAUUUACCAUGUUGCAAAACUGUCUUUCGUCGUCUAAUGAACACACUUUGGGAAAAGUAUACAACUCACAUAAACUCACCUGUCCUUUACUACAGUUCCAAUGAUGAAAAACUGUGAUACAGCUGCUUUAGUCCACUGAGCACAACGGAAAGGCCAUCUCGAGGAUAAGUGAUAUGGAGCACAUUCCAUUGACGAGGAUUUGAGCUUUUUACUGGAACAGAUUUUUGCAGGCUUUGACAUCAGGUGCUUGUGAGUCUAACACUCCUUGACCAGUAGGGCUAGAGCUAAUAGCUUUCAUGAUGGCAGCAAAUAAGUCCUUCUGGUAUAAGUCAUCGGUUACCUUCUGCAGGAUCUCAUUCACCAACUUGAAGUCCAUUGCCCCCGUCAAAACUAGCCUCGAAAUUAUCUCCCCGAAAUUUGCUGGUGCUUUUGGUAAAUCCAUUGCAAGAUCUUCCAAUUGAGAAGCAAAGUUCAAGCAUCCAGUAGCCAAGUCUGUAGCAGUAAAAACCUUUUCAGCAGACAAGUGCUCAAGAAGUUGUGCAACUGGUUCAACGCGUGGUGGGCUUUUGUCCAGUCCGAGUGAUAUGGCUUUCUCGACAACCUCAGGAUAGAAGGCAGGGGAUUUGAGUUCCUCAAUGCACUGUAAGGCUUCAUCCAAAAUCCGAACACUAAAAUAUUCCUCCAAAAGUGAAACUGUUUUUCUUUUCAGCUCCUCAGGAUUUGACCUUGCAGCUGGAGCCUGAGGUUUCCCAGCAACAGGCAAAACGGUACUAGUUGGAGAUGGCUUAACUGGUACUGGAACUUGUGAUACAGGCUCCAUACCAGAGACAUAGCCUGAUGGUCGGACAGGAGGUCCACCACUACCUUGUAAGAGAGCACUACUCCUGCCACUCAUGCCGACAUUGCUACCCUGAGGCAACAGUCUUGUGUUCAAGGCCGGCGACUUCCCAAUCAAUGGUUGCUGAGCACCUCUCGGCAUUCGUGACCUAGGAACUUCCCAGUUGUCAUUAUCCAUCCCAGGUGUACCAGGCAUCUUCCUAGUUCCGGGCAUUCCAGGCAUCAUACCACCAGUGCCUGGCCGAUUGAUAGGGAAACCACCAGGACUCAAACUCCCUUGAGCCGGAGGACCACGAGAAUUUCUCAUGCUUGCAGUGGCACCAGGACGCAAACCCAAUGUCUUUUCUGCUUCAGAAUGAAUCUCCGUGAUGGUUUUUGCUUUCACCUCUUCCCGCCUAGGAACCCAGCUAUUGGAACGUAAGUCCAGCACAUUACGAACCAUAAACCGCAGUCGGGGAGCCAACUGGGGGUUCGUUGAUAGUUCCUUCAACCGGUUAAAGUACAUAUCGUUGAUGCGCCUUGAUUUUUGGUUCUCAUCAAGCUGCUUGCCAAUGGUGUUGAAGAACUGACAAAUGGCUUCAACGUUCUCUUCCUCUGGACAGAUUUUGGGAUCUUGUCCUAAUAAUUCCUGAACAAUGUGGUGAACAAUCUUUUCCGGGACCAUCUUUUGCUUCAAAAGCUCACCAAUAAGCUUAAUAUUGCCAAGAGUCCGCAAUUUGAUCAACCUUUCUUUGUCCUUGCGUUCCGACUCCUGAUCAGGGGCUGUCAUUUGCCUCGCCUCUUCUCGCAGUUUGUGAGCACCUUCAAAUGCCUCCUGACAGUUAUUCAACAGAAUGCGCUUGAAUGUGAUCUCUUUGCCACCAGGUUCAUCAGAGGGAAAUGGAGGCAGCUUUUCAUUGAGAUCAGAACACAGUUGGGCAUACAUCGGGCAAAAUGUUGGUUCCAGCACAGCCUUGUCAAAUAUCAAGGAAAUAACACCCUUUAGGAUGUCUGCACUUGUUAUCCCUGAAUCUAUCAGUUGACCUUUGAGGAGAUCAAACUUCUCUGGAGUCAGCUUGUUGAGGAUACCCUUCACAGUCUUCAAGACACGAUCUACGUCAGAAAGAUUGCCUCUUCGAACUGACCACGGUAGCUCAGCUUUGACAAGUGUAGGAGCAGGUCCUCCCCCUAGGUUGGGAGAUAUUUGAGUUCUUGCAAACUGUGAAUUAAGCUGUUCCUGCCGGCCACCAAAUUCUCUGUUUUCUCGUAGAGCGUCCCAUGAUCUGUCCUCUGUGGGGGCAGAAAAUUGUGAUGACUUGCUACGCCAGUCACGGGAAUCUGGCUCAGAAUAACGAGUCUGAGAUUGGACCUGCACAUUAGUGUCUGCACGGCUUCGACUGCCAUCUUCACCAAACAAUUCAGAUUCAACUUCUUGUUUGAUUAGAAGGAUAUCAUCAGAAAUGGCAACCACCUCCCUCAGUUGCAGCAGCUGAUCUCGAGUAUACCUAACACGCUCACGGCCCUCAAAACGUGAGUCUCCAGUCUUGAAAGAUGAAAUAGAUGAAGAACCGCCAUGUGGACGAAGCAAAGGGAGAUCUGAAUUAGUCGAGGAAGGUUCAAAGCGAGGGCCAAGCACUCUGCUUCCACCACCUCUGUUACCACCACCUGGUCUCAAACUUAACACCGUCUGAUCAGCCUGCAUAAUACCUUAACUCAAUUUCUCCACCGUCCGAUCAAUUCGAACAAAAAAACAAUCCAAAUCUCUCAACAAAAAAAAAACACCCAAAUCAAGAAAACCUCAGAUACAAAUACUAUGUAUCUAACACAAUGAGCAAAAUACCCAGAUACAAUUAUGUAUAUAUAUAAAGGGGCGGUGAACCUUUUAGAGAGAGAAAGGGAGGAUUUUUUUUAGAGAGAGAGAGUAUUU